rnacentral:rRNA from 1 species
UACGAAGGGGGCUAGCGUUGCUCGGAAUCACUGGGCGUAAAGGGUGCGUAGGCGGGUCUUUAAGUCAGGGGGGAAAUCCUGGAGCUCAACUCCAGAACUGCCUUUGAUACUGAAGAUCUUGAGUCCGGGAGAGGUGAGUGAAACUGCGAGUGUAGAGGUGAAAUUCGUAGAUAUUCGCAAGAGCACCAGUGGCGAAGGCGGCUCACUGGCCCGGUACUGACGCUGAGGCACGAAAGCGUGGGGAGCAAACAGG